UGCAGUCGAGCGGAACGAUCCCAGCUUGCUGGGAGGCGUCGAGCGGCGGACGGGUGAGUAAUGCAUAGGAAUCUGCCCGAUAGUGGGGGAUAACCUGAGGAAACUCAGGCUAAUACCGCAUACGUCCUACGGGAGAAAGCAGGGGCUCUUCGGACCUUGCGCUAUCGGAUGAGCUUAUGUCGGAUUAGCUGGUUGGUGAGGUAACGGCUCACCAAGGCGACGAUCCGUAGCUGGUCUGAGAGGAUGAUCAGCCACAUCGGGACUGAGACACGGCCCGAACUCCUACGGGAGGCAGCAGUGGGGAAUAUUGGACAAUGGGGGCAACCCUGAUCCAGCCAUGCCGCGUGUGUGAAGAAGGCCCUCGGGUUGUAAAGCACUUUCAGUGAGGAAGAAUGCUUGUCGGUUAAUACCCGGCAAGGGAGACAUCACUCACAGAAGAAGCACCGGCUAACUCCGUGCCAGCAGCCGCGGUAAUACGGAGGGUGCGAGCGUUAAUCGGAAUUACUGGGCGUAAAGCGCGCGUAGGCGGCUUGAUAAGCCGGUUGUGAAAGCCCCGGGCUCAACCUGGGAACGGCAUCCGGAACUGUCAGGCUAGAGUGCAGGAGAGGAAGGUAGAAUUCCCGGUGUAGCGGUGAAAUGCGUAGAGAUCGGGAGGAAUACCAGUGGCGAAGGCGGCCUUCUGGACUGACACUGACGCUGAGGUGCGAAAGCGUGGGUAGCAAACAGGAUUAGAUACCCUGGUAGUCCACGCCGUAAACGAUGUCGACUAGCCGUUGGGGUCCUCGAGACCUUUGUGGCGCAGUUAACGCACUAAGUCGACCGCCUGGGGAGUACGGCCGCAAGGUUAAAACUCAAAUGAAUUGACGGGGGCCCGCACAAGCGGUGGAGCAUGUGGUUUAUUCGAUGCACGCGAGACCUUACCUACUCUUG
rnacentral:rRNA from 1 species